GAUUAACGCUGGCGGCGUGCAUAACACAUGCAAGUCGAACGAAGUUGCGGACGGGUGAGUAACGCGUGAGUUACCUGCCUUAAAGAAGGGGAUAGCCUUUGGAAACGAAGCAUACUACCCUAUACUCUAAGAUGGACUUGCGUCGGAUUAGUUAGUGGGUGAGGUAACGGCGCACCAAGACAGCGAUCAGUAGCCGGCUUGAGAGAGUGGUCGGACACAUUGGGACUGAGACACGGCCCAGAAGCUACGGGAGGCAGCAGUGGGGAAUGUUGCAAAAUGGGGGAAACGAUGAUGCAGCGACGCCGCGUGAUUUAGAAGGCCUACGGGGUGUAAAAAUCUUUUAUAUGGGAAGCAGUACCAUAGGAAUAAGGACCGGCGAAUGACGUGCCAGCAGCCGCGGUAAUAC
rnacentral:rRNA from 1 species